rnacentral:lncRNA from 1 species
UAUACGUGGCCAGUCUGACUAGGCGCUCGCUGUCACGUGACUCGCACUCGAUGGUGACACUUGGAGGAUAUUAAAUGUGACGUGGUCAUCUUAUGAGGAGUCACUCGUUGGGAUAUUUUGCCCUCUUCACUGCAUGGUUUUGAUCGAGUGGAAUUGAUUUGUUUUCUAUUAAUAUGAUGCCGAAUUAUAGUCUUUUCUCUAACUUCUGUUUCAUGCUAUUUUCUACAGUUUGGUUUUGGUAUAAUUGUUGGGGGUAUUGACAUAGUUUUAUUGGAUACUGGAUUUGAUCUUUUCCCCAAAGAUAUUGGAAUUCGGUGUGUGGACUAUUCUGUAUUUGUAAGAAAAUAUGUUUUAUGGAUGUGUAAGAGUUUAAAUAUGUAUGUAUAUAUUUAUACAUAUUUACUUAUUUAUCUAUUUCAAACGGGAAGAAUUUUUAUCUUGAUAAGUGAUUGCAGGAUUGUGAUUCUGUACAUUUUCAUCAAAAUUUGUGAAUUUUAUUGCAUAAUUGUAUUUAUCUGAAAGUACUUUUUAAAUAUUUGUCUUGAAGUCAAGUGAGUGGAUGUGUGGAAUGUGAAUAUUUGUCAUUUAGUAAAGUAUGUGAGGAAGAUCACUGCGACAAUCUAUCAGUAUAUUGUUUUCAAAACUCUAAAAUAAUAUAUUAAUUAAGAUCACCUACCAAGAAUUGUAUAUCUCUGGGAGCUGAAAAAAUCAAUUUCAGUGCUGUAAAUUCUUUUAUUUUUUAUUUUGAAAAAUAAAAAAUUACAGAAUAUGCAACUAUGAAGUGAUGACCAAAAAUUAGAUUGAAUGCUUGCUAUACAUAUGGAAGUACAAAUGGUUGUGUUAAAAAACAAGUGUAGGCAAUGCACUCAAAGGAUAUUUUAUCAUUUUGUUGGUAAGUUAACUUACAUGCUAAUUAAAUUUUUAAUUACGUCAUUCUUUUUUUCAAGUAUGUAAAUCAAAAUUUUAAAAGAUUGUAUGUAUUUUGUUAUUUAUAAAUUUUACUUCUAGAUUGUAAACUAAAUCUCAAAGAGAAUCUAUCAAUAAGCACGAUCUUUUGGGUACUGGCUCCAAAUUUAAUACAACGUUUUUUUAAUCUUUUAAUGUUAUCAUAGACAGCAAAGACUCGUUUCACAUAUUCUUGUUCAUUCUUAUUUCAGUUUGCAUUAUAACAAAAAAAA